rnacentral:rRNA from 1 species
UACGUAGGGUGCAAGCGUAUCGGAAUUAUUGGGCGUAAAGAGCUCGUAGGCGGUUUGUCGCGUCUGCUGUGAAAACUGGAGGCUCAACCUCCAGCCUGCAGUGGGUACGGGCAAACUAGAGUGCGGUAGGGGAGAUUGGAAUUCCUGGUGUAGCGGUGGAAUGCGCAGAUAUCAGGAGGAACACCGAUGGCGAAGGCAGAUCUCUGGGCCGUAACUGACGCUGAGGAGCGAAAGCAUGGGGGAGCGAACAGG